rnacentral:rRNA from 1 species
GAGAUAGGCCUUUCCUUCGGGACAGAGGAGACAGGUGGUGCAUGGUUGUCGUCAGCUCGUGUCGUGAGAUGUUGGGUUAAGUCCCGCAACGAGCGCAACCCUUAUGCUUAGUUGCCAGCAGGUCAAGCUGGGCACUCUAAGCAGACUGCCGGUGACAAACCGGAGGAAGGUGGGGAUGACGUCAAAUCAUCAUGCCCCUUAUGACCUGGGCUACACACGUACUACAAUGGCCGGUACAACGGGAAGCGAAGGAGCGAUCUGGAGCCAAUCCUAGAAAAGCCGGUCUCAGUUCGGAUUGUAGGCUGCAACUCGCCUACAUGAAGUCGGAAUUGCUAGUAAUCGCGGAUCAGCAUGCCGCGGUGAAUACGUUCCCGGGUCUUGUACACACCGCCCGUCACACCACGAGAGUUUACAACACCCGAAGUCGGUGAGGUAACCGCAAGGAGCCAGCCGCCGAAGGUGGGGUAGAUGAUUGGGGUGAAGUCGUAACAAGGUAACCA